CCCCAGGCCGCGCGAGGCGGCAGGUUCGCAUCUGCUGGCGGCGCUGGCCGGCCGGAGGGGCGCGGGGACGCGGCUGCGGUGAGCGGGCGGCAGCCAGGGGAAGCGGCCGGAGAGCUGAGGCGACUAGGGCAGCCCGGGUCCCUCACCCGACACGGCGCUGGCUGUCGGGGUCGCCCUUUCACGGCCAGCGCCCGGGAGGCAGGCGAGAGAAGAAAUACUAUUUUUUGCAUACCUUGGUACACUGAUAGAGGCACAGGAAACCACCAAUGACAUGCGCCUACCUUUGAUGUAACCACAUCUAAAAUAUUGUUGGUCUGUGACACAGGACAGAGUGACUUUUGAAAGAUGGAUUCAUGCUCCAUGCAGUAGCACUCAGCAGCAUUGCUCAACCUAGGAGGCAGGAAGAAGGAGAAACUUGCUCAGAGUGAGCAAGCUUCAGUCUCCAAGGAAGCAACUUCCUGGGGGAACAACUUCCUGCUGAUGUUGAAGACAAGAGGUUCCACUACUACCACUUCCUGUGACAGUACAGCCCCAAGGCUGACAUCAGAUGCAUCCAUAAAGUGUGUUCUGGCCCAAAUCACUACUUCAAAGGGACCUUGCCAAUGGCCAACAACUUGGAUUUGGAGGAAAGACUUAUGGAAGUGAUAACUUCUUUAGAAGAGUACACUCUGAGGACUACAAGAAACAAGCACCAAUGUGUACAGUACCACAAGAUCUCACACCAAUUAUUUAUUGUAUAUAGCACGGGUGGCCAACCUGUGGCUCCGAAGCCACAUGCAGCUCUUCAGAAGUUAAUAUACGUCUCUUUGUAUAGGCACCGACUCCGGGGUUGGAGCUACGGGCACCAACUUUCCAAUGUGCUGGGGGGUGCUCACUGCUCAACCCCUGGCUCUGCCACAGGCCCUACCCUCACUCGACCCCUUCCUGCCCCUCCCCUGAGCCUACCGUGCCCUCGCUCCUCCCCUGUCCUCCCAAAGCCUCCUGCACGCCAUGAAACAGCUGAUGGGGAGGGAGGGGAAGGCACCAGUGGGCGGGAGGCACUGGGAGCCUGGGCGGGAGAGGGGGAGAGCUGAUGGGGGGCUGCUGCCAUAUAACUGUGGCUCUUUGGCAAUGUGCAUUGAUAAAUUCUGGCUCCUUCUCAGGCUCAGUUUGGCCACCCCUGGUAUAUAGGAUCAGAUCUUCCCCUCCCAGUAUAAAACCCAUGGCAGGGUGCUCUGGAGGAGGAAGUCUCCAUGAGAAUCUCUUGACAGAGCUCCUGUCCCCAUAUCAUCCCAGAGGGGAGAGAAGGAAAAGUUUAAUUAAGGUGAGGCACCCAGGAAUGAUGUUAAUAGAUCACUCUUUAUUUCUUGGCCCCAGUCACCCGAUCUGAGUCGGGACUUUGAAAGUUUCCCGAUCCCCCACAUAGCAGGUGUCAAUAACCAUGGAUAUUGUUAUGCUUUCCCUUUUCCUUUUUUAAAUUAAAUCAAAAUAAAAUAUAAUAUCAAGCAAAAACAACCACACACUAAUAUAGCCAAUGAAUAACACACACAAUGGAGAGAUCUAUGAUGAUGGUCAAGAUAGACAAUUGGAAGCUCUUUAAUAAAUGAGAGGAUGAUUCUGCUUUACUAGAUGCCUCACCACUACUGCUGUGUUUUCUAUAAAAAUCUGUAAUAAACUCACCUUUUAUC